rnacentral:rRNA from 1 species
AACGAACGCUGGCGGCAUGCCUAACACAUGCAAGUCGAACGAAGGCUUCGGCCUUAGUGGCGCACGGGUGCGUAACGCGUGGGAACCUGCCCUUUGGUUCGGAAUAACCAGGAGAAAUUCUGGCUAAUACCGGAUGAUGUCGAAAGACCAAAGAUUUAUCGCCAUAGGAUGGGCCCGCGUAGGAUUCGCUAGUUGGUGAGGUAAAGGCUCACCAAGGCGACGAUCCUUAGCUGGUCUGAGAGGAUGAUCAGCCACACUGGGACUGAGACACGGCCCAGACUCCUACGGGAGGAAGCAGUGGGGAAUAUUGGACAAUGGGCGAAAGCCUGAUCCAGCAAUGCCGCGUGAGUGAUGAAGGCCUUAGGGUUGUAAAUCUCUUUUACCCGGGAUGAUAAUGACAGUACCGGGAGAAUAAGCCCCGGCUAACUCCGUGCCAGCCGCCGCCGUAA